UACGUAGGGUGCGAGCGUUGUCCGGAAUUACUGGGCGUAAAGAGCUCGUAGGUGGUUUGUCGCGAUUGUCCGUGAAAACUCACAACUCAAUUGUGGGCGUGCGGGCGAUACGGGCAGACUGGAGUACUGCAGGGGGAGACGUGAAUUCCUGGUGUAGCGGUGGAAUGCGCAGAUAUCAGGAGGAACACCUGCGGCGAAGGCGGGUUGCUGGGCUGAUACUGACGCUGAGGCGCGAAAGCCAGGGGAGCGAACGGG
rnacentral:rRNA from 1 species